rnacentral:rRNA from 1 species
UGGGGAAUUUUGGACAAUGGGGGAAACCCUGAUCCAGCCAUCCCGCGUGUGCGAUGAAGGCCUUCGGGUUGUAAAGCACUUUUGGCAGGAAAGAAANGUCGCGGGUUAAUACCCCGCGAAACUGACGGUACCUGCAGAAUAAGCACCGGCUAACUACGUGCCAGCAGCCGCGGUAAUACGUAGGGUGCAAGCGUUAAUCGGAAUUACUGGGCGUAAAGCGUGCGCAGGCGGUUCGGAAAGAAAGAUGUGAAAUCCCAGAGCUUAACUUUGGAACUGCAUUUUUAACUACCGGGCUAGAGUGUGUCAGAGGGAGGUGGAAUUCCGCGUGUAGCAGUGAAAUGCGUAGAUAUGCGGAGGAACACCGAUGGCGAAGGCAGCCUCCUGGGAUAACACUGACGCUCAUGCACGAAAGCGUGGGGAGCAAACAGGAUUAGAUACCCUGGUAGUCCACGCCCUAAACGAUGUCAACUAGCUGUUGGGGCCUUCGGGCCUUGGUAGCGCAGCUAACGCGUGAAGUUGACCGCCUGGGGAGUACGGUCGCAAGAUUAAAACUCAAAGGAA